rnacentral:tRNA from 1 species
GAAGGUAGAGCUCAGUGGUAGAGCAUAUGCUUAGCAUACACGAGGUCCUGGUUUCAAUCCCCAGUACCACCA